GACAGAGGGUGCAAACGUUGUUCGGAAUUACUGGGCGUAAAGCGUGUGUAGGCGGCCAUAUAAGUCGGAUGUGAAAGCCCUGGGCUCAACCCAGGAAGUGCACUCGAUACUGUAUGGCUUGAGUAUCGGAGAGGUUGGUGGAAUUCUCGGUGUAGAGGUGAAAUUCGUAGAUAUCGAGAGGAACACCGGUGGCGAAGGCGGCCAACUGGACGAAUACUGACGCUGAGACACGAAAGCGUGAGGAGCAAACAGG
rnacentral:rRNA from 1 species